GCAUUGGUGGUUCAGUGGUAGAAUUCUCACCUUUCAUGCGAGAGACCCAGGUUUGAUUUCCAGCCAAAACA
rfam:Loxodonta africana unplaced genomic scaffold scaffold_7, whole genome shotgun sequence.